rnacentral:rRNA from 1 species
CACUGACAUUAGAUACCCCCGGUAGUCCAGGGUGUAAACGCUGCAGACUUGGUGUUGGAGGCCCUUUGGGGGCAUUCAGUGCCGGAGAGAAGUUGUUAAGUCUGCUACUUGGGGAGUACGUCCGCAAGGAUGAAACUUAAAGGAAUUGGCGGGGGAGCACCGCAACGGGAGGAGCGUGCGGUUUAAUUGGAUUCAACACCGUAAACUCACCAGGGAAGACUGUUACAUGAAGGCCGAGAUGAAGACUCUGCUAGAUUUUCAG